GUGUCAGCCGCCGCGGUAAUACGUAGGGUGCGAGCGUUAAUCGGAAUUACUGGGCGUAAAGCGUGCGCAGGCGGCCUUUUAAGUCAGGUGUGAAAGCCCCGGGCUUAACCUGGGAAUGGCGCUUGAAACUGGAGGGCUUGGAGUGCGGCAGAGGGGGGUGGAAUUCCUGGUGUAGCGGUGAAAUGCGUAGAGAUCAGGAGGAACACCGAUGGCGAAGGCAGCCCCCUGGGCCGCGUCUGACGCGCAGGCACGAAAGCGUGGGGGGCAAACAGGAUUAGAUACCCUGGUAGUCCACGCCCUAAACGAUGUCGACUAGUUGUUGGGGGAGUUAAAUCCUUCGGUAACGCAGCUAACGCGUGAAGUCGACCGCCUGGGGAGUACGGCCGCAAGGUUAAAACUUAAAUGAAUUGACGGGG
rnacentral:rRNA from 1 species